GACGAACGCUGGCGGCGUGCUUAACACAUGCAAGUCGAACGGAAAGGCCCUGCUUUUGUGGGGUGCUCGAGUGGCGAACGGGUGAGUAACACGUGAGUAACCUGCCCUUGACUUUGGGAUAACUUCAGGAAACUGGGGCUAAUACCGGAUAGGAGCUCCUGCUGCAUGGUGGGGGUUGGAAAGUUUCGGCGGUUGGGGAUGGACUCGCGGCUUAUCAGCUUGUUGGUGGGGUAGUGGCUUACCAAGGCUUUGACGGGUAGCCGGCCUGAGAGGGUGACCGGCCACAUUGGGACUGGGCUGCGGCCCAGACUACUACGGGAGGCAGCAGUGGGGAAUAGUGCACAAUGGGCGGAAGCCUGAUGCAGCAACGCCGCGUGCGGGAUGACGGCAUUCGGGUUGUAAACCGCUUUCGCCUGUGACGAAGCGUGAGUGACGGUAAUGGGUAAAGAAGCACCGGCUAACUACGUG
rnacentral:rRNA from 1 species